AUUGAACGCUGGCGGCAUGCUUUACACAUGCAAGUCGAACGGCAGCGCGGGCUUCGGCCUGGCGGCGAGUGGUGAACGGGUGAGUAAUACAUCGGAACGUGCCCAGUAGUGGGGGAUAGCUCGGCGAAAGCCGGAUUAAUACCGCAUACGACCUGAGGGUGAAAGCGGGGGAUCUUCGGGCCUCGCGCUAUUGGAGCGGCCGAUGGCAGAUUAGCUAGUUGGUGGGGUAAAGGCCUACCAAGGCGACGAUCUGUAGCUGGUCUGAGAGGACGACCGGCCACACUGGGACUGAGACACAGCCCAGACUCCUACGGGAGGCAGCAGUGGGGAAUUUUGGACAAUGGGCGAAAGCCUGAUCCAGCAAUGCCGCGUGUGUGAUGAAGGCCUUCGGGUUGUAAAGCACUUUUGGCGGGAACGAAAAGGACUGUGCCAAUACCACGGUUCGAUGACGGUACCCGCAGAAUAAGCACCGGCUAACUACGUG
rnacentral:rRNA from 1 species